rnacentral:rRNA from 1 species
GACGAACGCUGGCGGCGUGCCUAAUACAUGCAAGUAGAACGCACAGUUUAUACCGUAGCUUGCUACACCAUAGACUGUGAGUUGCGAACGGGUGAGUAACGCGUAGGUAACCUGCCUGGUAGCGGGGGAUAACUAUUGGAAACGAUAGCUAAUACCGCAUAAUAUUGAUUAUUGCAUGAUAAUUGAUUGAAAGAUGCUAUUGCAUCACUACCAGAUGGACCUGCGUUGUAUUAGCUAGUAGGUGAGGUAACGGCUCACCUAGGCGACGAUACAUAGCCGACCUGAGAGGGUGAUCGGCCACACUGGGACUGAGACACGGCCCAGACUCCUACGGGAGGCAGCAGUAGGGAAUCUUCGGCAAUGGACGAAAGUCUGACCGAGCAACGCCGCGUGAGUGAAGAAGGUUUUCGGAUCGUAAAGCUCUGUUGUAAGAGAAGAACGG